rnacentral:rRNA from 1 species
UACGUAGGGUGCGAGCGUUAAUCGGAAUUACUGGGCGUAAAGCGUGCGCAGGCGGUUUUGUAAGCCAGAUGUGAAAUCCCCGGGCUUAACCUGGGAAUGGCAUUUGGGACUGCAAGGCUGGAGUUUGGCAGAGGAGACUGGAAUUCCCGGUGUAGCAGUGAAAUGCGUAGAUAUCGGGAGGAAUACCGAUGGCGAAGGCAGGUCUCUGGGCCGAUACUGACGCUGAGGAGCGAAAGCGUGGGGAGCGAACAGG